rnacentral:rRNA from 1 species
GUGAGGAAUAUUGGUCAAUGGACGAGAGUCUGAACCAGCCAAGUCGCGUGAAGGAAGACGGUUCUAUGAAUUGUAAACUUCUUUUGUGCAGGAAUAAAGUGGGUUACGUGUAACCUUUUGUAUGUACUGUACGAAUAAGGAUCGGCUAACUCCGUGCCAGCAGCCGCGGUAAUACGGAGGAUCCGAGCGUUAUCCGGAUUUAUUGGGUUUAAAGUGUGCGUAGGUGGAUUGAUAAGUCAGCGGUGAAAGUUUGCAGCUUAACUGUAUAAUUGACGUUGAAACUGUCGGUCUUGAGUGCAAAUGAGGUAGGCGGAAUGUGUUGUGUAGCGGUGAAAUGCUUAGAUAUAACACAGAACUCCGAUUGCGAAGGCAGCUUACUGGGAUGCAACUGACACUGAUGCACGAAAGCGUGGGUAUCAAACAGGAUUAGAAACCCCGGUAGUCC